rnacentral:rRNA from 1 species
CCGGACCCUCGGGCGGACAUACAGUGGCGAACGGGUGAGUAACACGUGACCAACCUGCCCCGCGCUCCGGGACAACCGCUGGAAACGGCGGCUAAUACCGGAUACUCCGCGGCCCCCGCAUGGGGGCGGCGGGAAAGCCCCGACGGCGCGGGAUGGGGUCGCGGCCCAUUAGGUAGUAGGCGGGGUAGAGGCCCACCUAGCCGACGAUGGGUAGCCGGACUGAGAGGUCGAUCGGCCACAUUGGGACUGAGAUACGGCCCAGACUCCUACGGAAGGCAGCAG